UUAACGUCACUCGUUAAACCGACUUUAACUUUUUUAAUAAGACAGGAUUUGGCGUCAUUUGAUAAACCGACUUUAAAUUUAUUAUUUUUAAUGAAUGUAAAAAGAGGAAUGUUAUAAAUUUCUAACUCUCCUCCGCCGUAGUAUAUUCAUUAUAAUCCCCCGUCUCCGGCAAUGUACUCGGAGGCCCAAGCCGUUCUUUCGUCAUCUUGUUCCCUUCAUCCUCCACUGGUCUUCUCAACAUCGUUUAUGGCUCUUGUCUAUGCUCUCUCGCAUUUUUCCCUCUUUCAGCGAUUCUUCUUCGUCUCCGGAGUAAAUUGAGGAACCUAAGCUAGAAGAUGUGAUGCGUAGUGCACUACUAGUGCUGCAACUAAAGAUGGUACAAUGAUUUUGAUAACUUUGAAUGAAGCUUGGGCAGCUUCAGGAUCUGUAAUCGAUCUCGUCUUUGAGAGUUUUAGAAUUGGUAAAUGAUCAAGAAAGCUUUUGAUGUGCUGUGUAGAGCUGCAACUAACGCUGGUGAUAAUUUCUUUGGAUGCUAAAGAGUAUUCACGUUGAAAUGCAUAAGCAUUGUUUCAGACUUGAAACAAAAGGUGUUGAUUUCUCUGGUGGCGAGGCUAAUUUCAUGACUCGUUCUUAUUUGAAAAUGAUAUGCAGAAGAAUCAUUUUUCUUCGGAUUGUUCUUGAAAAGGUUAAAGCUUUGUUUUCACGGUAUGUUUCUUACACUCUUGGUAACUUAAAGCCACAACUUAUUGGUUUGUAUAUUGAGUGAUUCAUUGUCUUCCCUUUAUGGUCUCCAGGAUGCUGAUGUGAUCUGGGUCAGGAACUUAUUUGUUUUUCAAAGCUUUAUGUAUUUAAUGUUCUCUUAUGAUUUUUUUUUUGAUGAACUGCAUUUGAUUGAGAACUCUUGUGAGAUCAUUCACAUACUUACGAAGCCUCAGUCUGCUUGGCAGGGAAUAUUGUGUUCUUUUUGUUUGAUGAACUCACAGGACACAUAUGUCAUGCACUUUGGGAGGCUAAGCGUGGCGUUUUCCAAGCAUGGUGAUUUUCGUUGGUCUCUGCAUCUGCGUGAAACUUCUAUGAAGCCAACCUUCUCCGUAAAAAGAUCUUACAAGAGCUCUGGUUUGAAUUUGGAAGAGCUGCACACCGUGUUGCUGUUUUUAAGCUUCAGAAUUCAGACAAAUAGCAAGGCUCCAGUUUUAAUUAUGUUAUGUAUUUUGUAUUUCCAUGAUUUUUUUUUUUUUUACAGCCAUGAUAUUGAUGUUUUAAUGUACAAACUACAUUUAAAUUUUA